ACAACAGACACAAUGAUUUCAGUGACUUACUUUGUCUGGAUGGUCUUGUUGCAUCUAUGUGUUCAAGAUGCUGAAGGUGACAUUGUGAUGACACAGUCUCCUUCCUCUAAAUCUGUGUUACCAGGAGAAACUGUCACUAUUAGCUGUAAGGCCAGUUCAGACGUUCGCAGCAGGGUAGCCUGGUACCAGCAGAAACAUGGACAGAGCCCUAAACUCCUAAUCUAUGGAGCUAGUAACAGAGAAUCUGGUGUCCCAGAUCGGUUCAGUGGCAGUGGAUCUGGGACUGACUACACCCUUACAAUCGGCAACGUUCAGACAGAGGACUCUGGAGAUUAUUCCUGUCAGCAGUACAGCAGCUACCCUCUCACAGUGAUACAAGCCUUGACAAAAACUUCCUGUAAUGACAGCAGCCCAGAACAUAUGUGGUUACAGACUAUGCAGCUGGUACAUGUUGUUAUGGGCUAA